rnacentral:rRNA from 1 species
UAUGACGGUACCCUUUCGAAUAAGAGGUUGCUAACUCUGUGCCAGCAGCAGCGGUAAUACAGAGACCUCGAGCGUUAUCCGGAUUUACUGGGCGUAAAGCGUCUGUAGGGGGUUUUGUUAAGUUCCAAGUAAAAUCUUAAGGCUCAACUUUAAGUUCGCUUGGAAAACUAAUAAACUGGAGUCCAGCAGAGGUGCAUGGAACUUGCGGUGUAGGAGUGAAAUCCGUUGAUAUCGCAAGGAACACCAAAGGCGAAGGCAUUGCACUGGGCUGGUACUGACCCUGAGAGACGAAAGCGUGGGGAGCAAAACGGAUUAGAUACCCGUGUAGUCCACGCCGUAAACGAUGGAUACUAGAUGUUCGGGGAUUCGACCCCCUGGGUGUCACAGCUAACGCGUUAAGUAUCCCGCCUGGGAAGUACGGCCGCAAGGCUAAAACUCAAAGGAAUAGACGGGGAUCCGCACAAGCGGUGGAGCGUCUGGUUUAAUUUGAUAGUAAGCAAUGGACCUCACCAAGGUUUGACAUCCUAUGACAACCCUGGAAACAGGGCUUCCUUCGGGCAUAGUGACAGGUGCUGCAUGGUCGUCGUCAGUUCGUGCCGUGAGGUGUUCCGUUAAGUCGGGAAACGAACGAAACCCUCGUCGCAUGUUACAAAUUUCAUGCGAGACUGCCCGCGCUCAACCGGGAGGAAGGCGGGGAUGACGUCAGAUCAGCAUGGCCCUUAUACCUUGGGCUACACAGGCGCUACAAUGGCCGGUACAAAGGGUUGCAAAACCGCGAGGUGAAGCUAAUCCCAUAAAGCCGGUCCAAGUUCGGAUUGGAGGCUGCAACUCGCCUCCAUGAAGUUGGAAUCGCUAGUAAUCGUGGCUCAGCCAUACCACGGUGAAUACGUUCCCGGAUCUUGUACUCACCGCCCGUCACACCAAGAGAGUUGGUAGCUCCUGAAG